rnacentral:lncRNA from 1 species
AGUUGGAGAGCGAUCCCGGCCUUGGCCUGCGGUGCUCAGGUGUGUGUGUGUGUCUAUAGGUGGGCACUGGUGUGGUGGUGAAAAAGAGACAGCCAAGGGAGAGCUGCGCCUCCCAUGUUGUCGGGGAGGGUGGCCAGCUGAUGAAGGUGCUGUGCUGAAAGCCAGGGAAGGGUUUCUGAAAGGUGCUGGCGCCUCAGGAACGCCCUCCUGCUGCUCUCUCCAGGAGGCCGUGGGCGGUGGCUGAACAGCCAGGGUGCAAUGACUGAAUCCCACCCUCCACAGGAAAAGGACAAAUCCUUCCCUCUGUUAACCUCUCCGUGCCGAAGACCCCAGAGGCAGCUCUCCGUAUCCCAAGACGUGGUCACUCCAAACCCACAGUGAGCGGCUCCUGUGCUCGGCUUUUGCUCCACAAACUCGCUAGAGUGCCACCGGAGGAUGCUGAAG